CACGCAGGCGGUGAGGUAAGUCUGAUGUGAAAUCUCCUGGCUUAACUGGGAGGGGUCGAUUGGAAACUGCCGUACUUGAGGCGAUGAGAGGGGUGUAGAAUUCCCGGUGUAGUGGUGGAAUGCGUAGAUAUCGGGAGGAAUACCAGUGGCGAAAGCGACACCCUGGCAUUAGCCUGACGCUCAUGUGCGAAGGCGUGGGGAGCGAACG
rnacentral:rRNA from 1 species